UACGAAUGGGGCUAGCGUUGCUCGGAAUCACUGGGCGUAAAGCGCACGUAGGCGGUUUUUUAAGUCAGGGGUGAAAUCCUGGAGCUCAACUCCAGAACUGCCUUUGAUACUGGGAAUCUAGAGUCCGGAAGAGGUGAGUGGAACUCCGAGUGUAGAGGUGAAAUUCGUAGAUAUUCGGAAGAACACCAGUGGCGAAGGCGGCUCACUGGUCCGGUACUGACGCUGAGGUGCGAAAGCGUGGGGAGCAAACAGG
rnacentral:rRNA from 1 species